rnacentral:rRNA from 1 species
UACAUAGGGGGCGAGCGUUAUCCGGAUUUACUGGGCGUAAAGGGUGCGUAGGUGGUGAUUUAAGUUUCUGGUGUAAGUGCAGUGCUCAACGCUGUGAUGCUAGGAAAACUGGAUGACUAGAGUGAGACAGAGGCAAGUGGAAUUCCAUGUGUAGCGGUAAAAUGCGUAAAUAUAUGGAGGAACACCAGUGGCGAAGGCGGCUUGCUGGGUCUAUACUGACACUGAUGCACGAAAGCGUGGGGAGCAAACA